rnacentral:rRNA from 1 species
CCUACGGGAGGCUGCAGUGAGGAAUAUUGGUCAAUGGACGAGAGUCUGAACCAGCCAAGUAGCGUGAAGGAUGACUGCCCUAUGGGUUGUAAACUUCUUUUAUAUGGGAAUAAAAUGUUCCACGUGUGGGAUUUUGUAUGUACCAUAUGAAUAAGGAUCGGCUAACUCCGUGCCAGCAGCCGCGGUAAUACGGAGGAUCCGAGCGUUAUCCGGAUUUAUUGGGUUUAAAGGGAGCGUAGGUGGAUUGUUAAGUCAGUUGUGAAAGUUUGCGGCUCAACCGUAAAAUUGCAGUUGAAACUGGCAGUCUUGAGUACAGUAGAGGUGGGCGGAAUUCGUGGUGUAGCGGUGAAAGGCUUAGAUAUCACGAAGAAUUCCGAUUGCGAAGGCAGCUCACUGGACUGCAACUGACACUGAGGCUCGAAAGUGUGGGUAUCAAACAGGAUUAGAUACCCCUGUAGUC